AGAGUUUGAUCAUGGCUCAGAACGUACGCUGGCGGCACGCCUAACACAUGCAAGUCGAACGAAGUAGCAAUACUUAGUGGCAGACGGGUGAGUAACAUGUGGGUAUCUGCCCUUUGGCCUGGAAUAACACGAGGAAACUUGUGCUAAUACCGGAUAAGUCUUUACGGAGAAAGCUUUAUGCACCAUUGGAUGAGCCCGCACUUGAUUAGUUUGUUGGUGGGGUAAUGGCCUACCAAGACUUUGAUCAAUAGCUGAUUUGAGAGGAUGAUCAGCCACAUUGGGACUGAGACACGGCCCAAACUCCUACGGGAGGCAGCAGUGGGGAAUCUUGCACAAUGGAGGAAACUCUGAUGCAGCGAUGCCGCGUGAGUGAAGAAGGCCCUUGGGUUGUAAAGCUCUUUCGUCGGGGAAGAAAAUGACUGUACCCGAAUAAGAAGGUCCGGCUAACUUCGUGCCAGCAGCCGCGGUAAUACGAAGGGACCUAGCGUAGUUCGGAAUUACUGGGCUUAAAGAGUUCGUAGGUGGUUGAAAAAGUUGGUGGUGAAAUCCCAGAGCUUAACUCUGGAACUGCCAUCAAAACUUUUCAGCUAGAGUUUGAUAGAGGAAAGCAGAAUUUCUAGUGUAGAGGUGAAAUUCGUAGAUAUUAGAAAGAAUACCAAUUGCGAAGGCAGCUUUCUGGAUCAUUACUGACACUGAGGAACGAAAGCAUGGGUAGCGAAGAGGAUUAGAUACCCUCGUAGUCCAUGCUGUAAACGAUGUGUGUUAGACGUUGGAAAUUUAUUUUCAGUGUCGCAGCGAAAGCGAUAAACACACCGCCUGGGGAGUACGACCGCAAGGUUAAAACUCAAAUGAAUUGACGGGGACCCGCACAAGUAGUGGAGCAUGUGGUUUAAUUCGAAGAUACGCGCAGAACCUUACCAACACUUGACAUGUUCGUCGCGACUUUAAGAGAUUAAAGUUUUCGGUUCGGCCGGACGAAACACAGGUGCUGCAUGGCUGUCGUCAGCUCGUGUCGUGAGAUGUUGGGUUAAGUCCCGCAACGAGCGCAACCCUCACUUUUAGUUGCCAUCAUUAAGUUGGGCACUCUGAAAGAACUGCCAGUGAUAAGCUGGAGGAAGGUGGGGAUGACGUCAAGUCCUCAUGGCCCUUACGUGUUGGGCUACACACGUGCUACAAUGGUAUCUACAACAGGAAGCGAAACAGCGAUGUUAAGCAAAUCCUUAAAAGAUACCUCAGUUCGGAUUGCACUCUGCAACUCGAGUGCAUGAAGCUGGAAUUACUAGUAAUCGUGGAUCAGCGUGCCACGGUGAAUGCGUUCCCGGGUCUUGUACACACCGCCCGUCACACCAUGGGAGUUGGUUCUACCUUAAGGCAAGGUUUAAUACCCUUGACCACGGUAUAGUCAGCGACUGGGGUGAAGUCGUAACAAGGUAGCCGUAGGGGAACCUGCGGCUG
rnacentral:rRNA from 1 species